UACGUAGGUGGCAAGCGUUGUCCGGAUUUACUGAGCGUAAAGAGCGCGCAGGCGGUCGGCCAAGUCGAGUGUGAAAGCCCCCGGCUCAACUGGGGAGGGUCAUUCGAUACUGGUCGACUCGAAGGCAGGAGAGGGAAGCGGAAUUCCCGGUGUAGUGGUGAAAUGCGUAGAUAUCGGGAGGAACACCAGUGGCGAAGGCGGCUUCCUGGCCUGUUCUUGACGCUGAGGCGCGAAAGCUAGGGGAGCAAACGGGG
rnacentral:rRNA from 1 species